AGGUCCCACCAUCGGAAGCGUGCUAACAACAACCAGCCUCCGCGAAGUAAUACCAAACGAUGAUCCCGCGGGGGAGAGUGGUCGAAGAAGCGUUUUGGGGGUAGUUUUAGUACGUAAGCGCCAUGGAUGACGAAUCGUGCAUGCUGCUACUAAGAACCAGCAGUACCUUUUGAAGAUUUUCUACCUCCAGCUCGC
rfam:Glossina pallidipes unplaced genomic scaffold Scaffold4, whole genome shotgun sequence.